rnacentral:rRNA from 1 species
UGGGGAAUUUUGGACAAUGGGCGCAAGCCUGAUCCAGCCAUGCCGCGUGCAGGAUGAAGGCCUUCGGGUUGUAAACUGCUUUUGUCAGGGAAGAAACGAGUUUCUCUAAUACAGAGACUUAAUGACGGUACCUGAAGAAUAAGCACCGGCUAACUAUGUGCCAGCAGCCGCGGUAAUACGUAGGGUGCAAGCGUUAAUCGGAAUUACUGGGCGUAAAGCGUGCGCAGGCGGUUAUGUAAGACAGAUGUGAAAUCCCCGGGCUCAACCUGGGACCUGCAUUUGUGACUGCAUAGCUAGAGUACGGCAGAGGGGGAUGGAAUUCCGCGUGUAGCAGUGAAAUGCGUAGAUAUGCGGAGGAACACCGACGGCGAAGGCAAUCCCCUGGGCCUGUACUGACGCUCAUGCACGAAAGCGUGGGGAGCAAACA